rnacentral:rRNA from 1 species
UACGUAGGUGGCAAGCGUUGUCCGGAUUCAUUGGGCGUAAAGAGCGUGUAGGCGUCCAGGUAGGUCGGUUGUGAAAACUGGAGGCUCAACCUUCAGAGGUCGACCGAAACCAUCUGGCUAGAGUCCGGGAGAGGAGAGUGGAAUUCCUGGUGUAGCGGUGAAAUGCGCAGAGAUCGGGAGGAACACCAGAGGCGAAGGCGGCGACCUGGACAAGUACUGACACUCAACUGCGAAAGCGUGGGGAGCAAACAGG